CGAAGGAAUUCAUUACCGAGGCGCUGGGGGAGGGGGAGUGAGGGGUAAAUCCUGAGGUCCUUUGCUAUUCUGGUCACCGUCCUCCCCCCAGUGGGUGAGGAUAAACACAACCCUAGGGAACAGGGAGUGAAAAGUAGCCCGGAGUUUUCUGGAGCCGAGAAAACCUGUGUUUUUGCGCUUAGGUUACUUGUAUCUAACUGAAACUUUACCUAUAAGCUUUUGAGCCUCGGACAGUGAGUCUUUGUUCUGCAUAGGACUGCUGCUGCCACUUAAAGAGAUCGCAGAUAAUGUCCCCGGUUUAAGAUCAGUGCUCAAUGCACAUUAACUUUCUUUCUUCUUUCUUUUUUAAGCUCUGCCUCUAACCUACGGAGGGAUCACGCGGCAGUGGGGGGCAGAUAAAAGCCCUUUGGCCGAGGGUCACCUCCGUCCUUGUUGUUCACUUGAGAGCAGUGGAGAGGAAAACGGUCCCCACGGGCGGACUUUGGCUUCUGGAGCCGCGGAGCCCAGCGGUCCGGGCCUCCCCGAGCUCCGCCUGUGAGAAAAGCCUAGUUCCUGAGCCAGUGGAGUCGGUCCUCUCGCCCCUCCCGUUCCCACGAGGGUCCCCCCUUCAGCCACCGCUACUGCCACCACCUCGGUUCCACUCAAUCGAUUUUUGCUGCAUGUCAACACUUAUUACCGCAACAGAAGGACUGCGAACAUUCCUUUACAAAGCUCCAUUGAAGACUGGAUAUCCUGGAAGGGUCAGUGAACACACUCCUUUAAUCCCAGGAAGCAUCACCCUUGGCAUUAUGACCAGCAAGGUGGUAAAUCUCAGUUCAGUUUACUACUCUCAACUUGGAAGCUCCUCUUCUGCCUGAAACCACCACCUGUAGGCUUGGACACGUUCUCAAAAUUAUGUGUUCUAAAAGAGCAAAGAUACAGUUCGGUGUGGAGUUUAUGUGCUAACAUGAGUUUCUUUCUGCAUCUUUUCAUAUAAAGUGAGAAACUGAAGCCUCCUGCCAACAGCCAUGUAUGUGAGCUUGGAAGUGGAUUCUCCAACUCUCUAGAUGACUGCAGCCCUGGUCACUAACUUCACCCCAAGUCUGAGCUGCUCCGAGAUUCCUGACCCUCAAAACUGAGUGAAAUAAAUAUUUGUUGUUUCAACAAGUUAAAUUUUGAGUAAUUUGUUACAUUGCAAUAUGUAACUAAUCCACUACAUACGGACUUGCUAUCUUCCAAAAGUUUGUCACUUUUUUUUUUAAUUUUUGUUUGUUUGUUUGUUUUUCUGUCACUUUUUAUCUAUUAUAGUCCUCCCACUUCUUUGCACUUAAGGGUUCUCUCUCUCCCCCCACCCCACCAUUUUAAUAGCAUCUGGGGGGGGGAUAGAGAUAAAACUAUUUGAUCUACCAAUUUUUUUAAGUUUAUUUAUUUGUUUUGAGAGAAACAGAGGCAGCACAAGUGGGGGAGGGGCAGCAAAAGAGGGAGACAGAAUCUCAAGUUGGCUCCAUGCUGCCAGCAUAGAGCCCGAUGCAGGGCUCAAACCCACAAACUGUGAGAUUAUGACCCCAGCCUAAACCAAGAGUGGGACACUUAACCAACUGAGCUACCCAGACACCACUUGAUGUGACAAAAUUUUACCAGAAGUCCAUGGAGGGGAAUCUUAAGCACAGAUUUGAAGGAGGGAAAGGAUAGGACUUAGUGAUGCUGUUUAACAAAAACAUUUGAGUUAAAAGAAAUAUGAGAUAAACACUCUGAGACAGAAAAAUAAACUUACAGAAAAUAAGAAGCAACUGAAAAUGAUAUUUUACUUCAUAUUUAAUAAAUAAGAUUCUGAGUUUUAAAAGUAUAAUUUAAGAAUAUUUCUUUUGUCUGCCCAGCACUGCUCUCCUUCUGGAAGCAGAAGUGUCUUCUUUUUGGAGGAAAUGCUCUUUUCUUUACUUAAACUGUAUUGUUCUAGUGGAGGCUGCCAAUUAUAGAAAUGGUCUCUCUCUUCACAAGAGGAGGCAUACGACCUAGGCCAGCCCUUUGGUCCCUCUCUGGGAGUUUUCAAGUGGGAUUUAGAAAGAAGUAGUCCUUUCAUAAAGAGAUAUCAAAAGCGAGGUUCUCAAGGGCAGAAUGUUGCGGUCUCUGGUAAGACAGAAAGCUGACUCAGAGAGAAGCACAGAUGACAGCUGGAUGGAGAGAGAGUCUAGCCUGUCUAGAGUCCCUGUUGCUUGUUCCUUGAGGUCCGUGCCCUUCCUGAGAUUUUGGUACUCAGGUCAGUAUUUACUUCCUGUUUUGCCCGUCUAAAAUUGGGUUUCUGUUACUUGCAGCCAAAAGAAUUCUUGCUUCAAUAGAGUGUCCCUUUUCCCACCCCCAUAAAUGUCUUCUUCCUUGAGGAGAGCAGAAGAAAGUGUUUUGGAACCACGAUUUAAGAUGGUUUUGGGGGAUCCUCAGAGGCAUCAGUGUAAGAAGAAAACUCUCAUCUUCUAGUGCCCUCUGCUAACACUGCCUGUAAAGUAUUGAAGUGGUGAAGGAGAGUUGGGUACACACACACACACACACACACACACACACACACCCGUUAAGUUUUUUUGCCAACACGAUAAUAUUUAUUGAAAGUCUAUUAUAUUUCAGGCACUUUUACAAACAUCUGUUCUGCAUUAGUCCAAGAAACUAGAUUUUUCAUACGGUUCCUAAUUAUAGAUGAGAUAAUACCUUUAAAGGUAAAAGAUGUCAAAUAUUACUUUUUCCAGAAAGAAAAAGUUAUGAGCAAAGACUCUCAUUCUGUUCACCUUUCUAAACCUCCGCCAGGUUUAACCAUUAUUUGGAUGUCUCUUUCGCUUUCCUAGUGAAAGGCUAUCCCAAGAAACUUAAAACAAGAUUUCAAAUGUAAAUGGUAUCACAGUACUACUAUUUGAUUUGUUUCUGAAGACAUUUUGAGAAAGAUUAUAAAAAAUGAACAAAAACCCAAAUCAACUAUAACUAAAUAGUGUGACUUGCCUUGAAAUUCUAGCUUUAUUCCUAUACAUUUGUUUCCUCCAAAGAAACUGACUGAAACAAGUCAGUCCAAAUCUAUAUAAACAGACUUAAGUUUGGGAGAGCUGUGAUGCUAAAGGCAUUAAUUCCACAUUUGAUUAUUACUUUGAAACUUGGACAAUUAGUGCUUGUCCAGUAAUUUCUCAUGUGUUUUCACCCCACCUUGUUCUUCCUGGGGGAAAAUGGUUACAACAGUUUAGAGCUCUUUUCUGAAGAAAUUUCCACACUGGCAAAGGUACCAACUUUUCACUUUCGUAGUGGGUGGUCUGGCACAGAAACUCCCCAGUGGCUGAGAAUCUGGAGCCUGGCUGGGCCUCCCAUAAGCUACAGUAUUAAACAUUUUUAUAUGUAAUUUAAGAUGUGAACUACUAUAAUUAAAAAUAAAUAAUUAGGUUUUUCCCAUUAGAAAAUUGUAAGAAAUUCUCAGUGUAUUCUGUAGAGUUAAGACUGUAAGUCUGUAUCAAAAAUUAAUCUUUUUCUUGUUCAUUUAAAAAAAGUACUAUCUUGAUUUCUUCCUUUGUUCUUCCAUUUUUUAUCCUGUCUUCUAUACCCUUCUAAUGUUUUUCUUAAUUAUUAAAUAUAUAUGCAUAUUUAAAUUACAAUUCAUAAUGUUCUUGUGUUCUAAAUAGUUCAUUUAUUUAAUAAAAAGUUAUCAAACACUUCUUCAAACACAAUAGAAGAUAGAAAGGUAAUAAUUAUUUAUUAAGAUAAGUGCAUUAUACUCAACACCUUGGGAAUGAUGACAAAUCUAUGAGAUCGGCAUUCAUUUCCACCUUACAGGUAAAGAAACUGAGAUGCCAAGAGAUUAGUUGAUUUGCUGUAAAUCAUGUACCUAGAAACUGGUAAAACCAAGUUUAAAUCUGGUAUCAUUUGAUUUCUAAAGGUUUUUCUCUUGACCAUACUAUACUGUUUUCUUAUUCACCACCCCAAAUCAAUGUAUACUACUUACCAGCUCAUUCCAUGAUGGUUCCAACUCAGGAACAACCACGUCUAACAAAAGUAGAUUUGCUAAAUACUACACAUGGAAUGAUAUAACCUAUGCUCUCAGGGAGCUGAAAACAUGUAAGGAGAGAUAAAUUAUGUAAGCAUAUAACUGAAACCUAACUUAGAAUUCAGUAGGUACCUUAGGAGUGGUACAAAGUACGUCAGACUUUCAGAAAAGAGUGAGAAUACUUCUGGCUGGGAGGAUUGAAGCAUCAUGUCUGAGAUAUCUUUUGAUUUUUGUUUUGAAAGAUGGGCAAAGCUUUAACAGAAGUGAAAGGAGAGCAUUUCAGGUACAGGAAAAAGUGCAGUAGAGAUUUAAUGGUAGAUCUGUGAUGAGUUUAGUGGACAGAAUAAUCUACUGUGUCAAAGUAAAGGAAGUAAGACUGGAAAGCUAAAUUUUAUUUUAUUUAUUUUUUUAAUAUAUGAAAUUUAUUGUCAAAUUGGUUUCCAUACAACACCCAGUGCUCAUCCCAAAAGGUGCCCUCCUCAAUACCCAUCACCUCCCCUCCCCUCCCUCC